rnacentral:rRNA from 1 species
CAGAUGCUGCAGACCCGAAACGAAGUGAUCUAUCCAUGAGCAAGUUGAAGCUAGUGUAAGAACUAGUGGAGGACUGAACCCAUAGGCGUUGAAAAGCCCCGGGAUGACUUGUGGAUAGGGGUGAAAGGCCAAUCAAACUUCGUGAUAGCUGGUUCUCUCCGAAAUAUAUUUAGGUAUAGCGUUGUGUCGUAAUAUAAGGGGGUAGAGCACUGAAUGGGCUAGGGCAUACACCAAUGUACCAAACCCUAUCAAAC